rnacentral:rRNA from 1 species
UAAGGAAUAUUGGUCAAUGGAGGCAACUCUGAACCAGCCAUGCCGCGUGCAGGAUGAAGGCGCUCUGCGUUGUAAACUGCUUUUAUCUGGGAAGAAACCUCCUUUUCUAAGGAAGUUGACGGUACCAGAGGAAUAAGCACCGGCUAACUCCGUGCCAGCAGCCGCGGUAAUACGGAGGGUGCAAGCGUUAUCCGGAUUUACUGGGUUUAAAGGGUGCGUAGGCGGGUUUCCAAGUCAGUGGUGAAAGCUCCGAGCUUAACUCGGAAAUUGCCAUUGAUACUGGAAGUCUUGAAUUCAGUUGAGGUCGGCGGAAUGUGUCGUGUAGUAGUGAAAUACUUAGAUAUGACACAGAACACCAAUUGCGAAGGCAGCUGGCUAACCUGACAUUGACGCUGAGGCACGAAAGCGUGGGGAUCAAACAG